rnacentral:rRNA from 1 species
AACGAACGCUGGCGGCAUGCCUAACACAUGCAAGUCGAACGAGAACUUCGGGUCUAGUGGCGCACGGGUGCGUAACGCGUGGGAACCUGCCCUUAGGUUCGGAAUAACUCCCCGAAAGGGGUGCUAAUACCGGAUAAUGUCUUCGGACCAAAGAUUUUUCGCCUUUGGAUGGGCCCGCGUUGGAUUAGCUAGUUGGUAGGGUAAAAGCCUACCAAGGCGACGUUGCAUAGCUGGUCGGGUAGGAUGCUUAGCCACACUGGGACUGAGACACGGCCCAGACUCCUACGGGAGGCAGCAGUGGGGAAUAUUGGACAAUGGGCGAAAGCCUGAUCCAGCAGUGCCGCGUGAGUGAUGAAGGCCUUAGGGUUGUAAAGCUCUUUUACCCGGGAUGAUAAUGACGGUACCGGGUGAAUAAGCUCCGGCUAACUCCGUG